rnacentral:misc_RNA from 1 species
GAACGCACAUUGCGCCCCUUGGUAUUCCGAGGGGCAUGCCUGUUCGAGCGUCAUUAUAACCCCUCAAGCUCAGCUUGGUGUUGGGGCCUGCCGCACGGGCAGCCCUUAAAAUCAGUGGCGGUGCCAUCUGGCUCUAAGCGUAGUAAUUCUUCUCGCUAUAGAGUCACGGUGGAUGCUUGCCAUUAACCCCCAAUUUUCAAUGGUUGACCUCGGAUCAGGUAGGGAUACCCGCUGAACUUA